GAGCUGAGUACCUGUUCACAGAGAAUGAAGCAGACUUGCCAGCCAGCCCCUGGGUUACCUCCUUUCAUGGCAGAGAAGCACAAGAAGCAAACUCCACAGUUCCUGUGGAUUUGCUCCAUCACAAAGGUUUUUGUUGACAUGUGAACUCUGGUUAUGCAUAUGGCUGGCUUUCUAUGUGCCAUCCUGGAACCAACAGCAGCUGCUUUUGAAAAAAGGGCUUCUGUGCUCCCUCUUGAAGAUAGUUCUGGUCAGAAGGAGCCUGCUGGCAGGAAGGACUGCUCAGGGUUCUGUAGAAGGGAUGGACAGAAGACAGAGCCUCCUCAGCAUAUCACUCAUGAAGCACUCUUCUUUCUGAAGCUACCUAGGCAAACUUCUGCUGAUAAUGAACUGGCCUGGAAAAAAGACCAAGUGCACGGAAUUUCACUUCAAUUUCUUGACUGCUCUGUGGAAGCACUCAAGCCAAAGACAUCAAAUCAGCUCCACGCAUGCAUUCAGGAGUAACUACAAGUAUGGUGAGCUUAUGUAUGAGAAGACAAAGAUGCACCACUGCCACGAUGAAGGACAGCCAAUUCUGCCAGCACAUGCACAGCCCUCCAAGUCUCAGCUGGGCAUCUCCAGUAUCCUCCACCGCAUAAAACAGAACCCAGAUUCAUGGGGAUCUGUAUUCAAGAUGCUCCCUUGUCCCACUGUAUCUCCAGGAAAGAGCUCCCGCACCUUUCCCCUCCAUCCGCACUGGAGCACAGCUGGGAGUAGAGCCAAGAGGAGCCAGCUUGGGGACUCCAGGCCAACUUUACUAAUUGUCACAGACUUUUAG
rnacentral:lncRNA from 1 species